rnacentral:rRNA from 1 species
GGCCAGACUCCUACGGGAGGCAGCAGUGGGGGAUAUUGCACAAUGGGGGGAACCCUGAUGCAGCGACGCCGCGCGGGUGAAGGAGUGCUUCGGCAUGUAAAGCCCUAUCGGCAGGGAAGAAGCAAGACGGUACCUGACUAAGAAGCCCCGGCUAACUACGUGCCAGCAGCCGCGGUAAUACGUAGGGGGCGAGCGUUAUCCGGAUUCACUGGGUGUAAAGGGAGCGUAGACGGCCAUGCAAGCCAGGGGUGAAACCCCGGGGCUCAACCCCGGGCAUGCAUUGGAAACUGGCGGGCUGGAGUGCCGGAGAGGUAAGCGGAAUUCCUAGUGUAGCGGUGAAAUGCGUAGAUAUUAGGAGGAACACCAGUGGCGAAGGCGGCUUACUGGACGGCAACUGACGCUGAGGCUCGAAAGCGUGGGGAGCAAACAGGAUUAGAUACCCCAGUA